CCAUCUUUCUUUCUCUUUCUCCCGUGUCCUUUCUUCUCCUAUCUCUUUUACCCCUUAAACCCUACUUUCACUGGUUUGUCUUCAAUAUUUUCUUUGUUCAACCCUAAAAUAUGGAGAGUAGUGAAGUCAAACAAUAAAAGACUGAGAGAUGAGACUGAAUCAACCAACAUCUCCAUUCUUUUCCCUAAAAUCAAAUAAGAGAUAAAAACCUAUUAUCUCAAACCCUAAAAUCAAGAUUCGGUUAGUUUCCUCUUACUUCCCGAAAAUCUCUCAAAGGAAGAAUUAGAGAUUGAAUCAAAGGAAAACAAAUCCUCAGCUUCGAUUCUCACGCUAUCACCUCUCGCAAAAUCCGUUGAGUUAAGCGUUUUAUUUUAGUUUUAUUUCCAAAAAAUGUCAUCUUUUUCUUUUCAAAGAAAACAUGCUAUAGCUUUUCACUUUUUAUAUAUUUCAAAAGGUUUGGCAACGCCGAUCUUGUAUUAUACUUUUUGAUACAUAUACGGGUGACCUAUUUGUGCAUUUGCAGGUGAUUUAUUUAACUUCAAAUUUUUCGUUUCCAAGCAAAGGCUCUGCCAUUCUCAAGGUGUUGUUUCGCUCUCUCGAUUCCCCUCAUUUUUUUAAGCAUUCUUUGAUUGAAUCUAUGAAAAUCUUCAAGUUUUCACCCCUGUUUUUGUAUAAUUCUCUACUGUAAAAUCAUUAUACUCAAGUUUGGAAGAGAGUUUUAUCACUGUUUCAAACAUCUACUUCUAUCAAUUUUGUUUUAUAAAAAUAUCUUAUAUAUGUGUUUUAAUGAUUAUUAAUCUUAUAAGGUUCAUAGAUUUUUUGGUUUUAUGGUUUUCAGUUCUGGUUAAAAUGUCUUCUUUUUGUAUGGUGUUAUGGGUCGCAGAUUCUACGACUCUCUGGUUUUAUGAUUUUUAGAACUUUUUUGUAACACAUCGUUGUAUAUUUUAUGGGUGUUGUACAAAAAUUCAUGUUAAGCAUUCAGUUUUCACUUAAAAUUGUUAACCAUGAUUUUCAUCAACUUUUGUUAUAUAAAUGACAAAUAGGUUUAAUCUUUAUAAAUCGUAUAUGGUUCAUAGAUUUUAUGGUUUUAUGGUUUUCACUUUGGUUUCAAAAUGUCUUCUUUCUGUAUAUUGGUUUUAUAAACUUCACAGGUUUUAUGAUUUGUACAUGCUUUUAUCUUCACUUAAAAUAGGUGACAAUUUGUUUUCAUCAUAAACUGUUUUUAUAUAAUGUUAACAACUUUUCACUCUUUUCCCUUAUAGAUUUGUAAUAGUGUAUUUUCGUGAUGGUUCGACCAUAUAUAUUGUUCUGCUUUCAAACUAUAAUGGGUGAUGUACUAACCGAUCAUAUCUUGCUAUUCAUAUAUAGAAUUAUCUAUAUCAGUUAGAAGAAGGUAGGUUAUAUGAAAUGGGAAAAAGAUGAAACAGUUUGUGUAGUAAAACAAAAAUCUUAGAUUUUAAAGAUGUCAUCUUUCCAUAAAUUGAUUUAACAAGUGUGCAUUUUUCUAUUUUUAAUGAGGUUGGGCAACUUAUGUUGCACCAACAUAUGACAACAUGAAGUUUUGUUUUGGUUCUGAAGUUGUUUUUUCCAUGUUGUGAUGAUAUCUUUGUGCUAUAAUCCCAUUAGUAUUAAAAUUCUGCUUUGUGCGUUGUUGAUGUUCUAUAUGAGCAAAUAUAAUAUACCCUUAAUCUCUAUUGGUAUAUUUUCACUAACAACCUAACAAGUUUCUUGAUCAUUUGAUGUUUGGAGACUAACAAGCUUUACUAGAAACUGAAACUCGGUAUUCAAGUUUUUUCAAGAUGAGUAUGCACCCAACUUAGAUAAUUUUAGCAACUUCACAGUGGCAAAUGCAGAAUAUACCAAGUGAAAAAGGAGAACAAUUGUUGAAGACAUCGAUCAGAAAGAGGACAUAAUCAUGAAAAUGUAAUAGAAAGCAAACCAUCCAAAUACUCAGAAAGAUUUUCGAUUCUGCUCAAAAUCAACAUGGAAAGAAAGUGUUAAUGGCUUUUUUCAAGUUGUGUUGUUAAUGAUUUUUUCUUUUCAUACAUGGGUUUUGCUGGUCCAAUACCCCUUCACAGUUUUCUUGCCAUUUUAUUGAAAUUUGAAAUUUGGUAGUUAUUUUGUUCAAUUUGUGACUUAUUAUUUUAGAAGUAUGCCAUAUGCAGAAUUACAAUAUGGAGAUGACUUCACACUGGAAAUGGUAUAAAUAUUCUAUGAAAUAACUCUUUGAUAUUA